rnacentral:rRNA from 1 species
CGGGAUAACAACCUGGAAACAAGAAUGCUAAUAACCGGAUAACAACAGAUGAUGCCUAUCAACUGUUUAAAAGAUGGUUCUGCUAUCACUCUUGGAUGGACCUGCGGUGCAUUAGCUAGUUGGUAGGGUAACGGCCUACCAAGGCGAUGAUGCAUAGCCGAGUUGAGAGACUGAUCGGCCACAUUGGGACUGAGACACGGCCCAAACUCCUACGGGAGGCAGCAGUU